rnacentral:tRNA from 1 species
UGCCGGAUAGCUCAGUUGGCAGAGCGACUGACUCUGGAUCAGUAGGUCCUAGGUUCGAACCCUAGUCCGGCAGCCA